rnacentral:rRNA from 1 species
UACGGAGGGUGCAAGCGUUAAUCGGAAUCACUGGGCGUAAAGCGCGCGUAGGCGGCUUUGUCAGUCAGAUGUGAAAGCCCACGGCUCAACCGUGGAAUUGCAUUUGAUACUGCAAGGCUUGAGUUCGGGAGAGGGAGGUAGAAUUCCAUGUGUAGCGGUGAAAUGCGUAGAUAUUGGGAAGAACACCAGUGGCGAAAGCGACUUUCUGGCUAUUUUCUGACGCUGAGGAGCGAAAGCGUGGGGAGCAAACAGG